rnacentral:lncRNA from 1 species
UAAUAUUUCCUGCCUUCAUAGAGUAUGGCAUAUGACAACUGUCUAAUCCAUGGUUAGAUAAAGGUUAAAAUGCACUAUGCUCAUUUUCUUUUGCCACUAGGGAUGGACAAGAGACUUAGUUUUCGUCAAUGGGAUUUAAAGGAGAAGAUUUGUGCUAUUAUUAAAAUCAUCUGAGACCAGGCAUAGAGAAAAGGCCAUAUGAGUACACAGCCAGAAGGUGUCUGCCUACAAGACAAAGAGGGAAAACUUACCUGAAACCAACCCUGAUGGAUAUUGGAUUUCUAAGCUCCAGAACUAAAAGAAUCAGUUUUAGAUUCUUCCGUCACUACAUUUGCUGCCUCGUACAUUUAAUAUGAUGCUCCAAAAUGAGAAAACUGACAAGCAAGCAGAACAGACAUAAUUGCCUGAGAUUUAACUUCAGAAAGCAAAACUAAGUUUCCAAAAUAUCAAAAAUAUUUUAAGUGUUGUUGUAUUUGUUGUUAUAUUAAUACAUGAUUUGGUUUUAUUGAAAUAAAAUAAUAAAUUUUGUAUGUUCAAG